ensembl:snoRNA SNORA62 Small nucleolar RNA SNORA62/SNORA6 family
UAAGCACCAUAUGCUCCAAGAUGUAGUGAUUCAAAGAGGAGAAAAAUGUGCAGGUAGUGUGCUACAUGAGGGGCAAGUCUUUCCUAACACCACAAGGGUCUCUGUCCCAAUUAAUGGAGUUUGAUAGUAAUUCUGGCUACGAGU